GACGCCAAUUAUUGGGCUGUACAUUCCUGGGUUGAGCAUUCUCGGGCUGUGCAAGUUUGGUCCGGGGCGAUAAUACGAAGCCACUCUUUUCACAGGGCAAUAAUGUACGACCCUAUAAUUCGCGUCCACUAAUCUGAGUCCCUUGGCUUUCAAUUAUCGGGCUGCGCAUUAUUGGUACGGGUCGAGAAUGCUCGACCCAAUAAUGUACAUCCCAAUAAUUGGAAGCCAAAAACCAGAGACAUUUUUUUUUUUAAGACAGCUGUCAAAAUUAGUAGGGACGUUCUGACAUGAGCUCUUGACAGUUUAAAAAUAAUCGGUUUUUUCUAGUGACAUCUUUCAAUGAUAUUGACAGUGUUGACACUUGUUGGUUUACAUUACGCUUUGUUAUCAUCUUUUUAUUUUUAAUGUAUGGUUUUCAAGAGCUCUAAUACUUGUAAUGUAUGCAUGAAAUCAUAUGGCAAGAGAACCUAAAUCGUUUUGGAACUAUAUGAACUCUAAAAGAAACAGUAGAGACUACAUGAGGGAAAUACAGCAGUAUGUAGAUUAUGAAGAGCACAGAUUGAAUCCAGCAGUGACAUGGGCCAUUUGUUCAAUAGAAUAUCUUGGUUAUAUGGAGAUUGGCUGAGAAAGCAAGGUGUAUGCUACAAGGUGCAGGUUUCUGCAAAAUAUAUAUGGGAGCUGAUACAGGCAGCCAGAAUGAGUCUGCUGGGUCGCCGGCGCCGGACGCGCGACGCGCGCCUCGGGCGUCUGACGUCUUCGUGUCUCUCGCCAGUUGCAGGGGAAGAUGCGAAUAGUUAUAAAGGCGUGCAUGACGUCGCUAAAAAAUGAUAGAUAUAAUACUAAUCUUGUUGCCCGAGGUAUUCCUCAAGUUCACGGGGUAGAUUACAGGUGUAGUGCAUAAUCCUUUACCAUUUUGACGACCACUCUGGCCUAGUAGAUAGUGAUCCUGCUUAUGAAGCCGAUGAUCCUGGGUUCGAAUCUCGCGGUAACGGAAUUUAUUUUAGUGAUGAGUAUACAGAUAUUUGUAGCUGAGUCAUGGAAGUUUUCUAUGUGGGAAUUAUUCAAUUUGUGUAAGAAUAUCCCUUUAAUACUUGUUUAUUUAUUUUUCGUAUUUUCUCGGAAACGUUGCUAUUCGUCAUGCUACUUCAGUCAACCUCAAUACUUAUUGUACUGAAUGACCGAAAAAGCAUGACACGUUCGUACGUUUUCGUGAAAAUACGUUGGUAAAGGAAAUUGCACUACAUUUUUAAAACCUAUUCACCUGUCAGUAAAAUAUGAAAAAGGAAAGUUCAUGAGUUUCAUAAUUUUCUUUCCUCCAACAGCUUCCCAUGGAGCAAAUGUAAACCUUUUGUGCAUGUCAAUAGUUCUCAAAUGGAAUUGGUAUAAGUCAUAAUAUAAUCGUAGAUCAAAAUUAGUACAUUACGAUAUACUCAUAUAAGGAGUGUACCGAAAAAAAACUGUAAACUUCAAAUGAAAAAAAAACUGAUGCAGUUGAGAACAAAUUAAGGUUUUUAGAAUAACUACAAUAAAAAGCGACUAUUAAUUUGGAUAAUUGUCACUUUUUUUUAUUUGUUCUGUAGGAGUGAUAGGCAGCUUGUUCCUAGCGCAUUCAGUGGCAGCUUUUUACGGACCCGUUUUUCAUAUUUGCCUGCAUCACCCCGUCACCUGCUGGAAUUGUUAAUGUUUUUUGGCUGUUUCAUUCUUCUCUUUUAAUACACUUUUGAUUUGAGCCCAAUAAUAGUUGAUAGAACGGCACUGCAGGACGUUUGGAGCUCGUACUCUAUUCUAUGUCAACUGCCAAAUGCGAUUUUUGUAGGAAGGAAAUUGUAUGAUUUUCGAUUUGGCCUAGAAUGAUUAUUAUUCCAAGAUUAAUAAUUCUGGUUUUACGCUGUUCGACUUUACACCGGCAAAUAAAAGAGAUGCCUAAAAAUAUUAAUCAACAUCUCCAGAAAUAAUCAUUUUCUAAAAAUGCAACAUUUUAAAAUAAAUUUAAGAAAGAGAUCAACAUUUAAACACACUUUUAGUGCUUUAUAGGUUUCUAGAACAUAUAAGUCAUUAAGUUACAUUCUUAUUUUGGUAAAAAAAAUAGCAAAAACGUCUCAGAAAAAAUUAAAAUAAUCAUGUCCAAAAAUUGCCAAUUUUUGAGUUACUAAUUUACUCAAACUUUAAAACUGAAAAAAAAAAUACUUAAAAACAUAUUUUUUGUGCUUUUAACCUAGGUAUGAGAUACUUGCAACAUAAUCAUUCUUACUCUGUCAAUAAGAAAUUUAUACCUCUAAUUAAUUUUGAACCUACGAAAGUCUGACAUCUUAUUUUCACAUUUAUAAGCGAAUUUGUUAAUUAAUUGUACUUAAUGUUAAGUUUGUGUUAAAUGUAUUACUGUAAAGUUGUCCAUUAGGUGAAAUAUAUGUAAAAGUCGCUUCUAACAGAAUACGCAAACGUGGAGUCACGGGACAGGCUUAGCCUAGUGUGACCCACAAAAUUUAUGUAAUUUUAUCUGAUUUUUAAAAAUAAAAUUUUACUUUACAAUCUGUACCUGUUAUAUACCUUUUUAGGGUUCCGUAGUCAACUAGGAACCCUUAUAGUAUCGCCAUGUCCGUCUGUCUGUCUGCACCGGAAAGCUACCUAUGUUUUUAUAAUAAUUAUCUGGUGCUUUAUUUCAUGCAUGGUGUGAAAUAAUUUAUUUUAAAUACAGUCAAAUUACGGGCAUCUUACCAGUCUACCAUAGGGCAAAUCUGAAAUGGGUCAAGGUCGGUGCAGUGACAAAAAAAAACAUUUUACCUCCUUUUCUACAUAAUUAGGCGUAGUUCGCUGUCUUUUGUAUGUUUCGAGUUUGCAAUAUUCUUACCCCCGGAGUUACACACAAUGUUUUUCAUCACACUUGCGAAGAAAAAAAACAAAAUUUUAAGCGAAAUAAUUCUUAAAUACGGUGACAUAUCAUACAUUCGUCCGAUUUCUUGGAAGGUGAGGCAUCGAAGGCACAGACCUAUUCGGCAUUCAGCCACGAUUGAAAAUUAAGUAAAAAUAUUUUAAUCGGAUGUUAAAAUAAUCAAAUUAAAUUAAAUUAUAAACGUCAGUAUUUUAAAAGUAAAACUCAUUUAUGCUACUUGGUUUGUAUGAAUAAGUGACAUAAUUAAAGAAAAAAGCUAUAACUCCCUAGGGCUAUAACUCCUCCUUUUUUUCACAAUCCAUAAAUCCCGCGGCAACAAAGUAGGCCUUUGUCCUUCAGCACACCUGCAUGAAAUAAGACCUUUUUCGAGCAAGUGUGAUGAAAAGAUUAUUGUUGAUUUUGGAUUUCAUACAAUGGAAUUAAAAAGACAGCGGCCUACGCCUAAUUAUGUAGAAAAUGAGGAACCAAUGAGAAAUGAUUUUAUUAUAAAUUUGUAUCAAUGUAUGUGUCAUUACAUAAAAUUUACUUAAUAACUAUGUAUUUCAUAUUUAUUAUAAAUAUAUUACAAGGCGUUGUACCUA